rnacentral:rRNA from 1 species
CCUAAGGUAGCGAAAUUCCUUGUCAGGUAAGUUCUGACCCGCACGAAAGGCGUAACGAUUUGGGCGCUGUCUCAGCUGUAGACUCGGUGAAGUCUUAGUACCUGUGAAGAUGCAGGUUACCCGCGACUAGACGGAAAGACCCCAUGGAGCUUCACUGCAGGUUGAUAUUGGGAUUUGAUGCAGCAUGUACAGGAUAGGUAGGAGGCAAAGAGAUGGAUACGCCAGUAUUCAAGGAGCCGCUGUUGGGAUACUACCCCUGUUGUAUUGGAUUUCUAACCGGACGACGUAGAGCCGUUGACGGGACAGUGUCAGUCGGGCAGUUUGACUGGGGCGGUCGCCUCCCAAAGAGUAACGGAGGCGCCCAAAGAUACCCUCAGCUUGGAUGGAAACCAAGCGCAGAGUGCAAAGGCAAAAGGGUGUUUGACUGCGAGACCCACAAGUCGAGCAGGGACGAAAGUCGGGCUUAGUGAUCCGGCGGUGCUGAAUGGAAAGGCCGUCGCUCAACGGAUAAAAGCUACCCUGGGGAUAACAGGCUGAUCUCCCCCAAGAGUCCACAUCGACGGGGAGGUUUGGCACCUCGAUGUCGGCUCAUCGCAUCCUGGGGCUGUAUUCGGUCCCAAGGGUUUGGCUGUUCGCCAAUUAAAGCGGUACGCGAGCUGGGUUCAGAACGUCGUGAGACAGUUCGGUCCCUAUCUGUCGUGGGCGCAGGAAAUUUGAGAAGAGCUGUCCUCAGUACGAGAGGACCGGGAUGGACGCAUCAAUGGUGGACCAGUUGUCACGCCAGUGGCAUAGCUGGGUAGCUAAAUGCGGAAGGGAUAAACGCUGAAGGCAUCUAAGUGUGAAACCCACUUCAAGAUGAGAUUUCCCAUUGCGCAAGCAAGUAAGACCCCUUAAAGACGAUAAGGUAGAUAGGUCAGGAGUGUAAGCAUGGUGACAUGUUAAGCGGACUGAUACUAAUAGGUCGAGGGCUUGACCGA